GGCAUCUUUAAUAAUAUUGCAACCAACUUAGGAUUCAAAACUCAUUACCAGAUGUCGCUAGUGUCGCCCUUGUUGUGUUUACAUCGUGAAACCAGGAAAAAAGGGGUGAAACAAUUGGAUGCGAAUUAAUACUUAUAUUCCUGUGAUUUCAUAUACCAAAUUGAACUUCGUAUCAUGUUCUUAGAUGCAUACUGUCAGUGUCAGUCAUUCCAACAAGUUGACUUAGCGCUCAGUCAAUUUCCAUCCAUUAGGCCCAUCAUGCUGUCAAAAGACUAAAACUCAUGUUUGAAGAUCACAUGUAGUGGAAAACAAAUCUGCUGAGAUAAGAGCACGUAAAAGAUCCUAAUAAGCCAAUGCUGACCUUUGUCCAUGACGG